AGAGUUUGAUCCUGGCUCAGGAUGAACGCUAGCGACAGGCUUAACACAUGCAAGUCGAGGGGGCAGCGGGGUUGUAGCAAUACAACUGCCGGCGACCGGCGCACGGGUGAGUAACACGUAUGUAACCUGCCCUCUGCAGGGGGAUAAGCGGAAGAAAUUCCGUCUAAUACCGCAUAAUACAAUUUGGAGACAUCUCCGGGUUGUCAAAGGAGUGAUCCGGCAGAGGAUGGACAUGCGGCGCAUUAGCUAGUCGGCGGGGUAACGGCCCACCGAGGCUACGAUGCGUAGGGGUUCUGAGAGGAAGGUCCCCCACACUGGUACUGAGACACGGACCAGACUCCUACGGGAGGCAGCAGUGAGGAAUAUUGGUCAAUGGGCGGAAGCCUGAACCAGCCAAGUCGCGUGAGGGAAGACGGUCCUAUGGAUUGUAAACCUCUUUUGCAGGGGAGCAAGGCGCGGUACGUGUACCGCGAAGGAGAGUACCCUGAGAAAAAGCAUCGGCUAACUCCGUGCCAGCAGCCGCGGUAAUACGGAGGAUGCGAGCGUUAUCUGGAUUUAUUGGGUUUAAAGGGUGCGCAGGCGGACUGUUAAGUCAGCGGUAAAAUGUCGGUGCUCAACACCGGCCGGCCGUUGAAACUGGCAGCCUUGAGUGAGCGAGAAGUAUGCGGAAUGCGUGGUGUAGCGGUGAAAUGCAUAGAUAUCACGCAGAACUCCGAUUGCGAAGGCAGCAUACCGGCGCUCAACUGACGCUCAGGCACGAAAGCGUGGGUAUCGAACAGGCUUAGAUACCCUGGUAGUCCACGCAGUAAACGAUGAAUGCUCACUGUCCGGGCCGUUUAAGGCCUGGGUGGUCAAGCGAAAGCGUUAAGCAUUCCACCUGGGGAGUACGCCGGCAACGGUGAAACUCAAAGGAAUUGACGGGGGCCCGCACAAGCGGAGGAACAUGUGGUUUAAUUCGAUGAUACGCGAGGAACCUUACCCGGGCUCAAACGGAAGGGGACAGUAUGAGAAAUCAUACAUUCCUUCGGGACCGCUUCCGAGGUGCUGCAUGGUUGUCGUCAGCUCGUGCCGUGAGGUGUCGGCUUAAGUGCCAUAACGAGCGCAACCCCUAUCGACAGUUGCUAGCAGGUAAAGCUGAGGACUCUGUCGAGACUGCCGGCGCAAGCUGUGAGGAAGGCGGGGAUGACGUCAAAUCAGCACGGCCCUUACGUCCGGGGCGACACACGUGUUACAAUGGCAGGUACAGCGGGAAGCCACCCGGCGACGGGGCGCAGAACCCGAAAACCUGUCUCAGUUCGGAUUGGAGUCUGCAACCCGACUCCAUGAAGCUGGAUUCGCUAGUAAUCGCGCAUCAGCCACGGUGCGGUGAAUACGUUCCCGGGCCUUGUACUCACCGCCCGUCA
rnacentral:rRNA from 1 species